rnacentral:lncRNA from 1 species
CCGGUCACCACAGGGGCGCCUCAACCCGCUCGUGAUACCAGUGACCUGGGAUUGGGGAGUUUUGGCCGUGAAAGCCCGGAUCGAAGCAAGAAGUGCUCCGGUUGCAGUUUUGGGAUUUUGCCGAUUCCCGGCCAUUCCGGCCACCUCCGGCCACCAUAUUCCCAUCGAAGGUUCGGUUUUUGAUGGAGAUUAUUUCCCCUAAGGUGGUUCAUUCCAAUUUGUAUUGUAGAAGUCGAAUUGACAAUUUUUCAUUUCUAGGGUUCUUGAAGCUUCGGGGCUUUCCUUCACCGGCUUGAUUCGGCCACUUCGAGGUAAAAUUGGAUGAUGUUGUAGUUUGGAAGUUGAUUGGGCUUGUUGUGUAGAUGCUAGUGCCGGAGUUUGGUGAUCAUCGGAGGAGGUCGCCGCUGGCGCGUGGUCCCCACUCGCCGCCACUGUAGGUAGCGCGUGGAGGCGCGUAAAGCAGUAUUUUAAUUGUCGUUUUAACCCCAUAUACUCUAUAACGAUUGUAGAAUGUAAUGUAUGAAGUUUGGUGGAAAUUGGAGGAAUUACGAAUUGUGUUUAAUUGCUUAAUUAACGAUUUAUGUGAAUUCGAUCGCCGG